rnacentral:lncRNA from 1 species
UUCUCACCUCCGGUCGUCGACGAGCGAAUCCCCGGCGACGUUGGCGGCUCCGGCGGCGGCGGUGGCUCCGGCAAACCUCUCAAGAAAAGGGAAGAAGAUGAGGGGAAAACUCAAAUUUUUUUUUUUAGAGGGAUGGGAAGAGGGAUGGGCUCGGACGAGGCUCUCAGAGGAGAGAAAGGGCGAGAGAGAGAGAGAGGGAGAGAGGGAUAGAGAGGGAGAGGGAAGAGGGGGGGCUUGCGGAGAUCUCGCUGGCCGUUCGGCCGGCGUGGUCUUCGUGGGCAAACCACGAUGACCCAACUGAAGUCGGCACUCCUUGCCGACUUCAG